CGGAGACCUGGGCAAGGCCAGUAGUGCCAGGAAAUAAUAAACACAAGAAAUGGCGAGUCACUCCCAGAAAAAGGUAAAUAAAUGCCAAGGAGAGGAGACGGAUCAGCCCUGGCCGUCACAUGAAAUAACCAGGACAGCACAGAAGAAAGAGCACGCAUUUUUGAGGCAGACAGACCUGAUUUAAAAUCUAGAUUUGGCCACCAACUUGCUGUGUAGCCUUUAGACAAGUUUCUUAAACCUCCACACAUCUGCUUCCCCUGGCUCAGUGAAAUGAGAGUAUCAAUGGUAUUUGCUUCAUGCCUGUUUUGAGAUCCGCAAGGUCUCAUCCCUGAGAAGCAAGCACCAAGAGUGUUCUGGUGAACGCGUUGUCAUCACCGCUGCAGCCACCAGCUCUCAAGCCAGCCCUGGAUCUCCUUGUCCCGGGAACUGCUCCCCCUCUGAAUCUGAGCAGCGGCUUCCGAGGCUCUGACCCCUCUCUCUGCUGCCUGCCUGCUGGCCCUAGGGCCUCAAGCCGCGAUUCCUCAACCCUGCUGAGACCAGCAAGCCAUUGAUCCACACUGCCUUCUCACUCGCCAUCAACCAGCUCAUGUCUCAAGAUUCUUAUUAAUUUGAAUGAAAUUUCCAGUAUUCAACCAUUUUGAUCUACACAAUGGCUAUUUGAUAAGGCUCAAACCAAUCAUAAAAAUACAGCAAUUUGUCGUAGUGGCUCACGCCUGGAAUCCCAGCACUUUGGGAGGCCGAAGCAGGUGGAU
rnacentral:lncRNA from 1 species